UACAGAGGGUGCGAGCGUUGUUCGGAAUUACUGGGCGUAAAGCGUGCGCAGGCGGUUUUGUAAGCCAGAUGUGAAAUCCCCGGGCUUAACCUGGGAAUGGCAUUUGGGACUGCAAGGCUGGAGUGUGGCAGAGGAGACUGGAAUUCCUGGUGUAGCAGUGAAAUGCGUAGAUAUCAGGAGGAAUACCGAUGGCGAAGGCAGGUCUCUGGGCUGACACUGACGCUCAUGCACGAAAGCGUGGGGAGCAAACAGG
rnacentral:rRNA from 1 species